GGUACAACUCUUGACAAUGGAGAAGGAUCCGAUAAUACUGCUGCUUCUCCUGUUGAUUUGUUACUCGUGCUACAGCAAGGAUCCGUGUGAAAACUUCACAGAAUUUGACAACAUCGAGUCUCGACACCCCACAACGACAGGAAAUUCACUCACCAUCGAUGACAGAAAUCUGUCCACUGGGCGGUAUGCAGCCCCAAGGAAAUUGA